rnacentral:rRNA from 1 species
GGAUUAGAUACCCUGGUAGUCCUAGCUGUAAACGAUGGAUACUAGACGUAGGAACUGGAUUGACGGUUUCUGUGUCGCAGCUAACGCGUUAAGUAUCCCGCCUGGGGAGUACGGUCGCAAGACUAAAACUCAAAUGAAUUGACGGGGGCCCGCACAAGCGGUGGAGCAUGUGGUUUAAUUCGAAGCAACGCGAAGAACCUUACCAGGACUUGACAUAUAGGGUCUAGCUAUAGAGAUAUAGUGUGCAUUAGCGCCCUAUACAGGUGGUGCAUGGCUGUCGUCAGCUCGUGUUG